UGCUACAUUCUCUUCCUGCUUUGGCUCCUCCCACUACUUGAGAGUUCUGAGACUACAGCAACAUCUCCCAAGACACAAUCUUAUCCUGCUGCUCACUCCACCCCCAUCCCUUCCUGUCUCUAUCCAUUGACUGACUGGUACCACUAAAGCCUUGUGGGGCAGGAAUCCCAAGCAAAGGGCAGAAGUGUGUGAGGCCUCUUAAGGCCUGGGCUCAGAACUGGCAAACAUCACUUGUAUUGAUUCUAUUGGCCUUAUUACACUGAAAGUUACAGGACCAGCCCAAAAUCAAGGAGAUGAGGAGUCCACCUCUUGAUGGGAGGAGCUAUAAAGUCACAUUGUCUCUCCCAGUGAAAUGCAGCUAAAAACCUGGAAAGACUGCACGAGAUGCUAUGCAAGGACGCUCAAGAGCAAAUAGUAAUAGGCAGAUUGGAGAAAAAGGCACAAAUUUGGUGUACCAUUAAACUGGUGGUGAGUUUACUUUUUCCCUCCAGCUUGGACUUGAAGGUGGGUACAGUUGUGGGAGGUGCACAGCAGAGUAGGGUGACCAAAGCCCAGCUUUCUGACCAGAGAACUGCAAAGGGGAGCCCCAAGGAGUGGACAAGUAACAGAGAGAUCGUGGAGAAGGAGACUCAUGGGAAGUGACCGCAUAAAGGUGUUUAUGAGCUGCAUGUCUCAUCCCUGAGCUGCACAUGUGUGGAUCUGAUCCCCAACAGCAGAGAAACACUAACAGAUAGACCAUUGCCCAGGUCCCAGACUAAACACUAGGGGAAGAACCUAGGGGCAGAACUGAAUGGCACUGCAAAGACUUUGAAUUUGAAAACAGAAUUGACACUGGAACUACAGCCCACAGAAGGCAGGUUGGAAAGUGAGGCCUGAGCUUAACCAGGUUCAUUGCCUGCUAAGACAAAAAUAGCAACAUCCUUCAUAGAAUUUAAGCAAGACACAAAGUCUCAUAGUCUAAUAAUCAAAAUGUCCAGGAUACAAUUCAAAAUUACUUGGCACAUAAAAAAACAGACAAAUCUCAACUUGCAUGGGAAAAAGCAGUCAACGGAUGCCAAUGCUUAGAUGACACAGAGUUAGAAUUAUCUGACAAAGAGUUCAGAGCAGCUAUAAUAAAAAUAAUCCAAAAGUAAGGGUGAAUUUGCUUCACAUGAAUAGAAAGAAUAGAAGGUCUUAACAAGGAAA
rnacentral:lncRNA from 10 species